UUGCACGCUGGCGGCAGGCCUAACACAUGCAAGUCGAACGGUAACAGGGAUCAGCUUGCUGAUUCGCUGACGGGUGGCGGACGGGUGAGUAAUGUCUGGGAAACUGCCUGAUGGAGGGGGAUAACUACUGGAAACGGUAGCUAAUACCGCAUAACGUCGCAAGACCAAAGAGGGGGACCUUCGGGCCUCUUGCCAUCGGAUGUGCCCAGAUGGGAUUAGCUAGUAGGUGGGGUAACGGCUCACCUAGGCGACGAUCCCUAGCUGGUCUGAGAGGAUGACCAGCCACACUGGAACUGAGACACGGUCCAGACUCCUACGGGAGGCAGCAGUGGGGAAUAUUGCACAAUGGGCGCAAGCCUGAUGCAGCCAUGCCGCGUGUAUGAAGAAGGCCUUCGGGUUGUAAAGUACUUUCAGCGGGGAGGAAGGGAGUAAAGUUAAUACCUUUGCUCAUUGACGUUACCCGCAGAAGAAGCACCGGCUAACUCCGUG
rnacentral:rRNA from 1 species